UACGAAGGGUGCAAGCGUUAAUCGGAAUUACUGGGCGUAAAGCGCGCGUAGGUGGUUGGGUAAGUUGAAUGUGAAAGCCCCGGGCUCAACCUGGGAACUGCAUCCAAAACUGCCCGACUAGAGUACGGUAGAGGGUGGUGGAAUUUCCUGUGUAGCGGUGAAAUGCGUAGAUAUAGGAAGGAACACCAGUGGCGAAGGCGACCACCUGGACUGAUACUGACACUGAGGUGCGAAAGCGUGGGGAGCAAACAGG
rnacentral:rRNA from 1 species